rnacentral:antisense_RNA from 1 species
AGUCUUUCUCUGGCACUUUCGCUGAAAUGCAGUGGCACAGUCUUAGCUCAGCUCACUGCGACCUCCACCUCCCGGGUUCAAGUGAUUCUCAUGCCUCAGCCUCCUGAGUAGUUGGGAUUACAGGAAAAAAAGUCCUUGGGAGUUGAGAAGCCAAUGAGAUUAGUCGUUCAAGCUGAAGUCAUUCUAUCUGCUAGCUGUCUGGAGCCACUGAAGCAGUGGGCGGACAGCAACAAGUUUAAGCUACAUCUGCACACUCUGCGGUCCAUCCAGAGACCAAGAAAGAAGCACAAGGAUCCUGCAGAGUCUUCCGAAGCCCAAGCCAAAUAUAUGAGGCAGGGAGCUGGAGAAUGUGGAGGAAGUGGGUCAGUAGGAAAAGGAAAGGGAACAAACAGACAUUCUCCUUCAGAAACGUGAGGUCCAGUUCCUGAACUUUAGCUGGCCCCAAAACUUGAGCAAGCUCUAAAAAGCAGAACAUCUCCCACUUAACAGUUUAUUCUGAGAACUGGCCAACCACAGGAGGGAAAAUCAUAUCUCCAGUUAAAGUGCCCCGAUCAUGCCAUCUGCUCAUCCUACCCCCUUUGCCCUGCUCCCACACAAAGUUCCUGCUAGCCCUGUUUACAUCUUCUUUUUUUAACUCUUUUUUUUAAAUUUGAUUUUUAGACAUUUGAAGAUUUCUGUGGUCAGAGGGUCUGUAAUAGUCUUUUUUGAAUAAAGCUGCUCCUUACCU